GAUGAACGCUAGCUACAGGCUUAACACAUGCAAGUCGAGGGGAAACGAUGAGAGAGCUUGCUCUCUUAGUCGUCGACCGGCGCACGGGUGAGUAACGCGUAUCCAACCUGCCUCUGACCAAGGGAUAACCCGUCGAAAGUCGGACUAAUACCUUAUGCAGUCGUCGGAAGUCAUCUGAUGACGACGAAAGAUUUCAUCGGUGAGAGAUGGGGAUGCGUCUGAUUAGCUUGUUGGCGGGGUAACGGCCCACCAAGGCGACGAUCAGUAGGGGUUCUGAGAGGAAGGUCCCCCACAUUGGAACUGAGACACGGUCCAAACUCCUACGGGAGGCAGCAGUGAGGAAUAUUGGUCAAUGGGCGUAAGCCUGAACCAGCCAAGUAGCGUGCAGGAUGACGGCCCUAUGGGUUGUAAACUGCUUUUAUGCGGGGAUAAAGUGAGGGACGUGUCCUUCAUUGCAGGUACCGAAUGAAUAAGGACCGGCUAAUUCCGUG
rnacentral:rRNA from 1 species